CUGUUAGUGAAGAUAGUCAGCAGACUACCUCCAAGCAGCAAAUGCAACCUCUGGUCCAUCAGGCUCAAUUUCAUCCCCUUCAGCAGAGUCACCACCAGCACCAUAUCAACCAAAGUCAACAUAUAGCUCAUUUCUCUCACAAUCAACAAUGUGGCCCUCAGUCUCACUUGCCCGAAGUUGUUCAUGCUCAGCAGUCGCUAACCAAUUCUCCACACAUGGCUUGCUUACAACAAUUAGGCCAUGUAGGAGGACGCAUGCAUAUAAUGCCUACAAGUCCUGCGAAGUUCUGCGAUGAAUGUGGUACUCCCUACUUGAGAGAAACCUCCAAG
rnacentral:misc_RNA from 1 species